rnacentral:rRNA from 1 species
AUUGAACGCUGGCGGCAGGCUUAACACAUGCAAGUCGAGCGGGGUGAUGGUGCUUGCACUAUCACUUAGCGGCGGACGGGUGAGUAAUGCUUAGGAAUCUGCCUAUUAGUGGGGGACAACAUCUCGACAGGGAUGCUAAUACCGCAUACGUCCUACGGGAGAAAGCAGGGGAUCACUUGUGACCUUGCGCUAAUAGAUGAGCCUAAGUCGGAUUAGCUAGUUGGUGGGGUAAAGGCCUACCAAGGCGACGAUCUGUAGCGGGUCUGAGAGGAAGCUCCGCCACACUGGGACUGAGACACGGCCCAGACUCCUACGGGAGGCAGCAGUGGGGAAUAUUGGACAAUGGGGGGAACCCUGAUCCAGCCAUGCCGCGUGUGUGAAGAAGGCCUUAUGGUUGUAAAGCACUUUAAGCGAGGAGGAGGCUCUUUUGGUUAAUACCCAAGAUGAGUGGACGUUACUCGCAGAAUAAGCACCGGCUAACUCUGUGCCAGCAGCCGCCGUAA